rnacentral:misc_RNA from 1 species
AUCUAGCCCCGAUAGCAGCGGUUACCCCGGAACAGGAAGGAAACAGUUGGGGCGUGAGGAGUAUGAGCGUAUAGCGGGAAUGAGC